AUAUUACUUGUUUUAAAUUACUUACUAAAUGAUUGCUCAGGGUGAAUUUUCUACACCUUGGGAAUUAACAUAUCCUUAAUUAUUUGAGAAUGUUUUAGGUACUGUUCUGAUGAUCAGUGUGUAACCACUUACAGAUGUGGUUCUAACAUUUUUUUUAUUUUAGACCAGCAGAGUGGUUAUGGGAAAGUAUCCAGGCGAGGUGGUCAUCAAAAUAGCUACAAACCAUACUAAAUUAUUCCAUUUGCAACUUAUCCCCUACAGGUGGUGAAGCAGUAUUUUCCAAUUUGAGGAUUCAUUUGAAGGUGGCUCCUGCCACCUGCUAAUAGCAGUUCAAACUAAAUUUUUUGUAUCAAGUCCCUGAAUGGAAGUAUGACGUUGGGUCCCUCUGAAGUUUAAUUCUGAGUUCUCAUUAAAAGAAAUUUGCUUUCAUUGUUUAUUUCUUAAUUGCUAUGCUUCAGAAUCAAUUUGUGUUUUAUGCCCUACCCCCCAGUAUUGUAGAGCAAGUCUUGUGUUAAAAGCCCAGUGUGACAGUGUCAUGAUGUAGUAGUGUCUUACUGGUUUUUUAAUAAAUCCUUUUGUAUAAAAA